UACGUAGGGUGCAAGCGUUAAUCGGAAUUACUGGGCGUAAAGCGUGCGCAGGCGGCUUUGCAAGACAGAUGUGAAAUCCCCGGGCUUAACCUGGGAACUGCAUUUGUGACUGCAUGGCUGGAGUGCGGCAGAGGGGGAUGGAAUUCCGCGUGUAGCAGUGAAAUGCGUAGAUAAUGCGGAGGAACAGCCGAUGGCGAAGG
rnacentral:rRNA from 1 species